CAGAGGGGGCAAGCGUUGUCCGGACUGACUGGGCGUAAAGCGCACGCAGGCGGUUGUGGGCGUCGGUGCUGAAAGUCCACUGCUUAACAGUGGGAUGCGUGCCGAUACGCCAUAACUGGAGCGAUGCAGAGGCCAGUGGAAUUGCCGGCGUAGUGGUGAAAUGCGUAGAGAUCGGCAGGAACACCCAAGGGGAAGCCAGCUGGCUGGGCAUUUGCUGACGCUCAUGUGCGACAGCGUGGGGAGCGAACUGGAUUAGAUACCCAGGUAGUCCACGCCGUAAACGAUGGAUGCUCGGUGUCUGGUGGGUAAUCAGUCCCGCUGGGCGCCUCAGCUAACGCGCAAGCAUCCCGCCUGGGAACUACGAGCGCAAGCUUA
rnacentral:rRNA from 1 species